rnacentral:rRNA from 1 species
UACGGAGGGUGCGAGCGUUAAUCGGAAUUACUGGGCGUAAAGCGCACGCAGGCGGUUUGUUAAGCUAGAUGUGAAAGCCCCGAGCUCAACUUGGGAUGGUCAUUUAGAACUGGCAGACUAGAGUCUUGGAGAGGGGAGUGGAAUUUCUAGUGUAGCGGUGAAAUGCGUAGAUAUUAGAAGGAACAUCAGUGGCGAAGGCGACUCCCUGGCCAAAGACUGACGCUCAUGUGCGAAAGUGUGGGUAGCGAACAGG